rnacentral:rRNA from 1 species
GACGAACGCUGGCGGCGUGCCUAACACAUGCAAGUCGAACGGAGACAGCACGAAGCUUGCUUUGAGCUGUUUUAGUGGCGGACGGGUGAGUAACGCGUGAGGAACCUGCCUUUCAGAGGGGGAUAACGUCUGGAAACGGACGCUAAUACCGCAUGACAUUCCGGUGUCACAUGGCGCUGGAAUCAAAGGAGCAAUCCGCUGGAAGAUGGACUCGCGUCCGAUUAGCCAGUUGGCGGGGUAACGGCCCACCAAAGCAACGAUCGGUAGCCGGACUGAGAGGUUGAACGGCCACAUUGGGACUGAGACACGGCCCAGACUCCUACGGGAGGCAGCAGUGGGGGAUAUUGCACAAUGGAGGAAACUCUGAUGCAGCAACGCCGCGUGAGGGAAGACGGUCUUCGGAUUGUAAACCUUUGUCCCUGGUGACGAUAAUGACGGUAGCCAGGGAGGAAGCUCCGGCUAACUACGUG